rnacentral:lncRNA from 10 species
UCAGAGGGCUGUUGGAGGAGUAGAUGAGGUGCUACAUGCAGGGCCCUGAGAACUGUCCUGUCGCUCAGGAAGCAAGUUUUGCAGGGUGUGGACAAUCGGGCAAGUGACUGCAUGUGACAACAGAGAGAGGGCAUGGUACACGGUGGCAGAUGAGCCCGGGACUGGAGGCAGAUCUGGGUUCCAGUUCGGGCUCUACCAGCAGCACCCAUGUGUCCUUCUGUUCUCUGGGCCUCAAUUUCCUGUUGUAAAAUUCAGAACUUGGAAGAGUGGCUUCUCUGGAGGGCUCAAGCUUGACCAGGAAACUGAGUGCCGAGCCCUGGAAGAUCACUGGGGAGAGGAGGUCAAAGAACUGGGAGGCCAGGGCACCAUCGGCGGGCUGGUAAGUGGAUGGUGAAACCACCAGGCAGGGGGCAGGAGGAGCUGGAGAGAGGACGCGAGAUGGGAGCUAAAAUCCUAAAAUCCGCAGGGAGUGCGGAAAGCAGUGACAGCAGUGAGCGCGGGGAGGCUGAACUACAGAAAGGGACAGAGCUGUUUAUGUCAUGAAAAGCAGGCCUGAGCAUUAGAAGACUGAGAAACACCUGGGAGGAUCUUGUUUCAACAGAGCUCAAAGCCGUGGCAAAAGGACGGAGCUCGAAUUGUGCAAUUAAACCCAGGCCCCCAGCAAAUGGAAAAUGCCAUCCACUGGCACAGAGACUUCAGUUGGGAGCCGAGGACUGAACUCAGACCACCAUUCUUUGUUCAACAUUUCUUCCUGAGGGGCCUGGAGGAAGUCACACCCACAGGCCAGAGCUCAACAUUCCUUUCUGCUGACCCCAGGCACCAGUCCAUGGCACUCCCUAUGCCUGCAGGAUACCACAUCAAAGCAGAGUUGGGGGAG